CGAUAGGGGGACUCCAAGUGUGAAGGGCAUAUAGCCCUCGCUUUUNUGUACCGUAAGGUGGUACAAGAAUAAGGACUGGGCAAGACCGGUGCCAGCCGCCGCGGUAAUACCGGCAGUCCGAGUGAUGGCCGAUAUUAUUGGGCCUAAAGCGUCCGUAGCUGGCCGUGUAAGUCUAUCGGGAAAUCGACCAGCUCAACUGGUCGGCGUCCGGUAGAAAACUACGCGGCUUGGGGCCGAAAGACUUGACGGGUACGUCCAGGGUAGGAGUGAAAUCCUGUAAUCCUGAACGGACCACCAAUGGGGAAACCACGUCAAGAGACCGGACCCGACAGUGAGGGACGAAAGCCAGGGUCUCGAACCGGAUUAGAUACCCGGGUAGUCCUGGCCGUAAACAAUGCUCGCUAGGUAUGUCACGCGCCAUGAGCACGUGAUGUGCCGUAGUGAAAACGAUAAACGAGCCGCCUGGGGAAGUACGUCUGCAAGGAUGAAACUUAAAGGAAUUGGGGGGGGGGAAAAACAAAAAAA
rnacentral:rRNA from 1 species